CUCAGCAUGAAUUUAAAAUACACUCUUUAAAUUCUCAAGUGUUUCUGUAGUGUUGGUUCUGCAGUGGCAGUCUCAGAACUCCCAGGGCAGUCGGUUGCUUUGAAGGUCACUGGGUGAAAAGGGUAUUUUUCACUAUUGCAUUACACUGCUUUUCAAGCUCCCAAUUUACAGAGAGAAAGUGCUGUCAGCCAUGUGCUGUGGGAAUGUCAGACUCAGUGAGGAGCUCUGGUACUUGAGGCGGGGAGCAAUCACACUCCAAAUAAUCAGCAGGAACUGUGAGACAAAUCAUGCAGUCCAUACUCUCACAAAACCCUCACUGACUUCAGUGGGAGUUUUGCCAAAGUAAGGUCUGCUGGAUUUAGCUCUUCUUCCUGAUGGAACAAGUAGAAAUUAAAGGGCCAGGAUCAGAUUUGUAUGACAGAGAGAAAAAGAACAACUAUAAUUAUCUUAAAAUUAACAACUUUUGGCCAAUGCAAAUCAAUGUUCCUUUAAAAGCAUUUAAUUUACAAGAAUUAAGUGUUUGUGUGAGUGUUUCUCAGCACUACCAAAAUCCACUACAGUUUGAUUUUUUUUUAUUAGACAACUGUGAGAGGCUGUCUUGCCCAGUCUCAUGCUGGAAUAUUUAUAACAUUUAAUAUACCACAUCACACAUUACCUGGUAUUUCACAACAUUGUUUAUAUUUGUUAUAAGGAUAAGAAGUGUAUUUUAACCUUUUUAUCGUAUCUCCAUUCCGCAUCAUUUUGAGACAAUUACAUUUCUGCAAAUCAGGAUACACACAACCAGCAUUUGCUAAAUGCCAGGAGCUGGAGUUCUUUUCCUGCAGGUGGUUCUACAAAAGCCAACGCCUAUUGCACUGCUUCAGUCCUCUCUGUCAUUACAGAAUGAUACUUCAUUUUUCAGCUUCUAAAUUUUGUUGCAGUAAGUGAUUAAUUAGGUCAACUUCUGAAACAGGAUAAAGCCAAAUGCAGCACGUUUUGCUAAUACCAGAAAAAGUGAAGUUGAUAGGAGCAUGGAAAAUGGGAUCUUACCGAUUUUCUUUAUUCUGCUUCUUCCUUGUUCUCCUUAUUCCUGCUUCUUUCCCCUGGAAUGGAAUAGAAAAUAUGCCUGGCACUUAGGAGGCAACAAGAAAAGUAUAAAGGCAUCCAUCUUAUACAAAGAAUAACCACCUAAGGGAACUAAUAGAGGACUUAAAUCUCAUAAUAUCCUCAUGAUAAAUUUUACAACUGUUUUAUACUGAGAAAAAUCUUGAUUUAAGGUUUUCUGCAAUUAAAUAUUUGAAUGCAAUUUUAUAAAUGGAUUACUGUUUCUUGAAAUAUCAGUCAAAACUUUAAGGUUUGUACAACGCGAAGGAGACACUUCAUGUGGCUGACGCUGUUACCUUCUGGCAAAUAAGCUAAAGUUUGGGCAUUUCUCUGGAGUCAGCACAUCAAUCUCAGAGCCAUUAAGGACAAAUUACCAAAAGCACAAAGUGAUUUUUUUUAAUUUGGAACCCUAAAAGUUGAAGAUCUAAAAAUUAUCCACCAUGUGAAAAUGUUGCAUUUGCAUCUCAACCACCAUCUUAACGCUGUGUUUCUCCUAGGCAGCAUCCCGUGGACUGCAACAUUCAGAAACUUGGAAUUUUUUAGAGUAUUUAUAAAAUGCUGUACCCACCUCCCUUAUUCCAUGCUUUGAAGCUUGCCGUGUUUUUAGAGCAUAUUUAAAAGAAAACAGAACUGGAUCAGCACACUGAAAGUCACCCACAGACAACCUGUUCCACUGAUACUUUACAUUUAUACUGCAUCCUUUGUCCUGAAGGAUUUCUCUGCUUCAUUCUCAUUCCGUGUAGGCUGAUGAGACCGCUCAGGUAUCUGCAGGAGUGAGUCAGGGAACGCUGGGAUAUGUGCUUCAUGUUCAGAGGCCAGUAAGGAAAAUUGGGCAUUUGUUAUUUCAUGGGUAGUGACAUCACCAUCUCAGAUCUCCUUAAGGAAAAUAACUUCCACAGCUGAAAACUAGACCUGAAAGCAAACACAAUCUGAAUUCUCAUGGCAAGGAGCUGGAGCAUGCUGUACUUCACAAUGGGUCAUUACUGCUUGCUAUUCCUUCCGUGUUUUGCAUUUACCAUGCUGCACUUCAAACAUUUCUAUGUGAAAUGCAUCACUUUAAAAUCUGUGGAUACGGAAGGUUCUUUCCUGCUUGUUGAAGUAAUUGAGUGAAGUGAAGGUUGAUCAUAAAAUGUAAUGAGAGGGGAAGAGAGAACUCUUAUGCUGGAAAAAGCACUAUAAAUAUUUUCCUGAGAUCAUUAACACAACCUUGUAACACUUCGCCUCGUGCAGCGGAAAGAAUUAUACAAUCAUUUUAUGAACUUUCUAAAAAGUGUUUACAAUUCCAUCCCAAAUAUAUAUGGCUUUUUUUUUUUUUAAAGCAGAAAAAAAAAAAAAAAACAGCAACCUAUAAUUCUUAAUUCUGCUAUCAAAGUUAUUUCCAGCCUUUGAAGGGAUUCACUUCGCAGGGCCUCGGCAGCGUCAAACAAAUGUUCGACUUUUAUUCUGACACUUCUUGAAGAAUUUGAUUGAAACUAUAUAUGUCGAGAUAACAUCCAACAAAGUGCCCCUCUUGCGUUUGUUUCAAGAUAUUUUUGGAAGCAACAGAGACGACCUUGGAUGGAGCUGCUUUUCCAAUUUAGGACUUCAUUUGGUCUAAGAGAGUAAAAUUAUACUCUUCGGUCCUUUUGUGUACCCACAAACAAAACAGUGUUGUUACCUUCUGCUAUUGUAAAAUUGUUUUUCUGUACCUUGUUAGCAGUGUCAAUCUGUUGAGGAUAAGAACUGUUUUAGGUAAUCCACAGUUACAUUCAAACGCACAUAUAAAUAGUCCUCCAGUGUAUCACAUGUCCCUGUAAAACAUUGUGCAAUCCAAACGAACAGUGGUCCUUUAUGUAAUGCCUUUCUUUCUUUAUAACUAGUGUUAAUAAAUAAGCUUUAGCCUUUGUCUUUGCUUAUAGACAUCAAGAAUCUGAUUUCAAGCCAGGGCUCACACAGACUUGAUGUAAAGUCUAAAUGAGGAGAGUGGUAAUGCUGGCGAAUGCGCUGCGAUGGGACCGCCACCUGUCUGGAUUGCAGGAGAAAUAUUGUUUGUCAAGCUUCAAGUUUAAAUCCAAGUAACUGUGGACAGCUGACGGGAAGCAACUGUGAAUCGAUCCUGGGAAUGAACAUGUAUUUGAGUCAUUUGGCUGGUUUAUGUCUCCUGUGUAGAGGUGUAGCUUCACAAAAUGCCUACUGCCUGCAGGAAGAACUCCCUCCGAACAGAUUCUCUACCUGAGCAUCAGGGAAGGAAAUAAAUCUGGAACUGGUGACAUUUCAAGGACAAGGAAAACAACCGCUCGGAGAAUUAUCUGAUUCCGUUGGUGUUUAUUUUUACUUAUAUCUAGCAAUCUGCGCUCCAACAGAAGAUGCUUAUUUGCAGAAAAGAAGGCUGUCUCCUGUCUGGACUGGUGCCUGGUCUGGAGAAAAGAUGGCACUAAGGACAAGAGGUAUGCUUUAAACAUGUAUUAGCUAACGUAGUAGGCUGCUGGGUGGGAAUUGGAUGUGCC
ensembl:lncRNA